rnacentral:rRNA from 1 species
UCAAGCUAUUAAGGGCCGCUGGUGGAUGCCUUGGCAUCAACAGGCGAAGAAGGACGUGUAUACCUGCGAUAAGCUCCGGUGAGCUGGAUAAAAGCCAUGACCCGGAGAUCUCCGAAUGGGGCAACCCGGUGGGAUUAAUCUCCCAUCAUCCCUAGGCCAAUACAUAAACCUAGGGAAGCGAACCUGCCGAACUGAGACAUCUAAGUAGGCAGAGGAAAAGAAAUCAAAAGAGAUUCCCAUAGUAGCGGCGAGCGAAGUGGGAAUAGCCCAAACCGUCGGCUUUGUCGGCGGGGUUGUAGGACCAACCAUAACGUUGUAGAUCUUUAGCUGAAUACUUCUGGAAAGUUGAACGAUACAGAGUGAUAGUCUCGUAAGCGAAAAAGAGAAACAACAAGGUUGGCACCUGAGUAGGGCCGGACACGUGAAACCCGGUCUGAAUCUGGGGAGACCACUCUCCAAGGCUAAAUACUCGUUGAUGACCGAUAGCGUACCAGUACCGUGAGGGAAAGGUGAAAAGAACCCCUGUUAGGGGAGUGAAAUAGAAUCUGAAACCAGCGGCUUACAAGCGGUCAGAGGCCUAUGCCCUUUUUAAGGGAAUGGCUGAUGGCGUGCCUUUUGCAUGAUGAGCCAGCGAGUUACGCUAAAUGGCGAGGUUAAGGGACUUUCGUUCCGGAGCCGAAGCGAAAGCGAGUGUGAAUAGCGCAUUCAGUCAUUUGGCGUAGACACGAAACCGAGUGAUCUAUCCAUGGCCAGGUUGAAGCUGGGGUAACACCUAGUGGAGGACCGAACCAGUUGCUGUUGAAAAAGCUUUGGAUGAGCUGUGGAUAGGGGUGAAAGGCCAAUCAAACUCGGAAAUAUCUUGUUCUCUCCGAAAUAACUUUUGGGUUAGCCUCAGACUUAUUCCUGUUGGGGGUAGAGCACUGGAUCCACGCGGGGGCCUACCGGCCUACCAAAGGGAACCAAACUCCGAAUACUAACAGGUUGUCUGGGAGAUAGACAGUGGGGGAUAAGCUUCAUUGUCGAGAGGGGAACAGCCCAGACCGUCGACUAAGGUCCCUAAUUCUAGGUUAAGUGAGUAAGGAAGUGGAGUUUCAUAGACAGUUGGUAUGUUGGCUUAGAGGCAGCCACCAUUUAAAGAGUGCGUAACAGCUCACCAAUCAAGAGAUUCUGCGCCGAUAAUUUUCGGGGCUAAAACCUAGAACCGAAGUCACGGAUUCAGAACUUAGUUCUGAGUGGUAGGAGAGCGUAGUAUUUGCGCCGAAGCUGUACCGUAAGGAGCAGUGGAGCGGAUACUAGUGAUGAUGCAUGGCAUGAGUACACGAUAAAGGAGGUGAGAAUCCUCCUCGCCGAAAGCCGAAGGUUUCCAGGGUAAAGCUCGUCUUCCCUGGGUUAGCCGGCCCCUAAGCCGAGGCCGAAAGGCGUAGGCGAUGGAAAGCGGGUUAAAUAUUCCCGUGCCACCUAAAGCUAUGACAAUGGGCUGACGGAGUACGUUAAGCGCGCGGACGAUUGGAUAUGUCCGUAGCAUCGUGAGGAAGGUUGAUAGGUAAAUCCGUCGACGGAAUUCCAGGCGAUGAUCAAGGGGAGCCCUCGUGGUGAACUUAUGGCGUAGCGCAAUGCUUCCAAGAAAUAGGCUCUAGUCGCUGAUGGUGACCGUACCAAAACCGACACAGGUUGGCAGGAAGAGUAUUCUAAGGCGCGCGAGAGAACUCUCGUUAAGGAACUCGGCAAAUUAUCCCCGUAACUUCGGGAGAAGGGGAGCCGCAGACUGUGAUUACCUUCGCGGUAUGAGCAGUAGGCGGUCGCAGAGAAUAGGCCCAGGCGACUGUUUAGCAAAAACACAGCACUAUGCAAAGCCUUUAAGGCGCAGUAUAUGGUGUGACGCCUGCCCAAUGCCAAAAGGUCAAAAGGAGGGGUUAGUCUUCGGACGAAGCUCUGAAUUUAAGCCCUGGUGAAUGGCGGCCGUAACUAUAACGGUCCUAAGGUAGCGAAAUUCCUUGUCGGGUAAGUUCCGACCUGCACGAAUGGCGUAACGAUCUGGGCACUGUCUCAACGAGAGACUCGGUGAAAUUGUAGUAGCGGUGAAGAUGCCGUUUACCCGCGACAGGACGGAAAGACCCCGUGAACCUUUACUGUACUCUGAUAUUGGCUCUUGAUAUGUCAUGUGUAGGAUAACUGGGAGACUUUGAAGGCGGUUCGUCAGGAUCGCUGGAGUCACUGUUGAAAUACCAGUCUUGGCAUGUCGGGAAUCUAACGAGAUCCCGUGAAUCCGGGAAUCGAACAGUGUCAGACGGGCAGUUUUGCUGGGGCGGUAUCCUCCUAAAAAGUAACGGAGGAGUCCAAAGCUUACCUCAUCGUGGAUGGUAAUCACGAGAAGAGCGUAAAGGUAUAAGGUAAGUUGACUGUGAGACUGACAAGUCGAACAGGAACGAAAGUUGGGCUUAGUGAUCCGGCGGUGGAAUGUGGAAUCGCCGUCGCUCAACGGAUAAAAGGUACUCCGGGGAUAACAGGCUUAUCGCCACCAAGAGUUCAUAUCGACGUGGCGGUUUGGCACCUCGAUGUCGGCUCAUCGCAUCCUGGGGCUGGAGAAGGUCCCAAGGGUUUGGCUGUUCGCCAAUUAAAGCGGUACGCGAGCUGGGUUCAAAACGUCGUGAGACAGUUUGGUCCCUAUCCGUCGUGGGCGUAGGAUACUUGAGAGGAGCUGCUUCUAGUACGAGAGGACCGAAGUGGACGAACCAAUGGUGUACCAGUUGUUCUGCCAAGAGCAUCGCUGGGUAGCUAUGUUCGGAAAGGAUAAGCGUUGAAAGCAUCUAAACGCCAAGCCUCCCUCAAGAUAAGGUAUCCCAUGAGACUCCCUGUAGACUACAGGGUUGAUAGGCUGGAGGUGUAAGCACAGCAAUGUGUUUAGCUGACCAGUACUAAUCAGUCGAUUGGCUUGACCAC